GGGUGGAAAUGGGUGGGGGAAGUGGCGAGAGGGGAGAGGGGGAAGGGCGUCGCUCGAUCGCUCGUGGAAAAGGCCAAGAGACCGUGUUCGGGCGUUUCCGGAAGCCCUCGGCUCCUUCCUUCCCAUGCCUUGCUUUAUCAAACGAGCCCUGAAGUGGGGGUAUACCGGCGAGUUUCAGGGCCACCCGCCGUUACCACGGAAAAACGAAGCCCAAGAACUCGUUGCUCGAAGAAAAUACCUGCGAGAUCGAGCCACGGCCGAGAGUGCAUCUAAUGCGAAAGAGAUGGAAUCGGACGGAUGUUGCUGGCUCCUGGCUGCUGCCGUUACUGCCACGCUGGUUUCUCUGCCUUUUGUUGGCUAACUAAGGAAACCGGAGAAAUUCGUGAGAUUCUUGAUAGCGGUGCGUAAUACGCCGAUUCGGUUGGCGCAUUCGGACGAUGUAUACAAGAUUCGAAUAGUAGUUUGAUUCUU